AACGUAGGUACCGAGCGUUAUCCGGAUUUACUGGGCGUAAAGGCGCGUAGGCGGCCACUGCAAGUCGGUUGUGAAAUCUCCGGGCUUAACCCGGAAAGGUCAAUCGAUACUGCAGGGCUAGAGUGCAGAAGGGGCAACUGGAAUUCUCGGUGUAGCGGUGAAAUGCGUAGAUAUCGAGAGGAACACCUGCGGCGAAGGCGGUGCUGGGCUGACACUGACGCUGAAGCGCGAAAGCUAGGGGAGCGAACGGG
rnacentral:rRNA from 1 species